GGCUGGGGCUGCGCGCGGACCGGAAGGGCGGGAUGGGGCUCAGCGGCUUCCGGUGCGAGGCAGUGUGAGCGCCGGGCUGUGUGAGCGUAGGGUGCGGCGUUAAUGGUGCAGCUGCGGGAGCGGCCGUGUCUGCCGGCUGUGUGAGAGGAGGUCGCCGGCUGGCGGUGCAGCGGCCUCCGUCGCAGCCGUGUGGCUGUCCUAGUGCUUCAAACCCUUGUUGUUUUUUAAGAGGCCUGGAGUGCGAAGGUCUCAGGGAAAAAGAAUCCUUAGUUGACACCUGAUGGGAGGGUAGAAUGUGUUCUGCACACCCUCAUCCCACAGAGACAGCUUCAGUGGCGUGUGUGAGGAACGCUCCACAGCCUUCAGCUGAGGGGCACAAGCUGUGUCUGGAGAAGGUACUGUCUGUUACUGCUGCACCUCGUCUUCAAUGGAACUGUAUAACCUACCAUAGCAGCAGCGUUAGAAGUGCCAGACAUGGCCCCAACCAUCCCGGCAGUCCAUCCCUGGGCUCAGAAAGACCACCCCUCAGCAACAGCUGAGGAUCAGUGUUCACUACUGGAUCAGUGAAGCUGUAGUAAACACACGGCCCUGGGAACCUAUAGCUUUGGAGGGCUGAAGCUUGAUGAUCUUUAAGGUCCCUUACAACCUAAGCCAUUCUAUGAAGCACUGACAGCUACACAAAGAAUACCUAUCUGACCUACAGAUACACUGCACCAAAUGAAAUGCUGUCUCAUGUAUGUUAAAUGUAUAAAAUAGCUAUCACAAAAUUGUUCAGUUGGAAUAAAAAUACAGUGACACUGCAUUUCACAUACAUCUAAAUGAUUUCUUACGCAUUCUUUGUAAUUCUGAGUUGACUGGAUUUAAAUUCUUUUGAUUAAAAUAAAACAAUACCCCUUGUCAGCUGUCAAACACACAGUGAAAUGUUAUUCAUUCAGGUGAUGCCAUGAUCUGAGAUGGUACACAAUGAUACAGUUAACUUAUCAAACUGUACUUGUUGAUACAGCUCCACUGUGGGUCAGGGCAGACUAAACAAAACCCUUUUUCAUGAAUGCUUGUUCAAUCCUGGCAUUCAUCUUGGGCCAUAACAAGAAGGUAUCUGUUUCC
rnacentral:lncRNA from 1 species